rnacentral:misc_RNA from 1 species
CGAUAAGAUUAGAAUUUGAUUGUUCUUUGGCCAUAUGGAAUAUCGUCAUCAUUAACUAAAGACCCUAAGAUUACAAAAAGAGAAACAUAAGCAUAGAAGGACAAGGGUGGUAGUGGGACGCAACCCUCAUCUAUUCUAUGCACCGUCUUUAUAUGAUGCUAAUUGCCUGCUUGUAUGCAAUAAAAAUCUCCCACUCCUCCAAAAUCAGAAUCUAAAUCUUGAACCAAAGAAUAGACUUGUUGAAAAAGGUUUCUUUCAAGCUGCAAGGAAACAAAUAAACCUAGAAAUGGUCAGCAUAAUGCUACAUUAAAAUUCCUAAUGUGCAUUAUAGCAGUUCACUCACAUGCUCCCAAGCUGCAGAUGACAUAGAUAAAUAAAAUGACAAAACCACACAACCAAGCCUUACGUGGCUCUCCAUUUCAGAUGGACUGUUAGAAAGCCAAUUGUAGAGCUGCAUUCAAAGUUUCCCUGGGAAAUGGCUGGGAUCUUUAUCAGUUUAAUCCUGUGGAGGGAAUCAUACCAAGGCCAUAUUAUUAAAUACUUGAUAUUGAGAAUUAUCUCAUGUCCAAAUGCAAAAACAGAAAAUUAAGCAAACAACAGGCUCAACACAAUCUAAAGGCAGUAGUUAACUGGGCAUCAGAGUUCUGACUAAUGAACUGAUCCAGAGGAAGACGUUUAUUCAGCUUGAUAUGGAAAAGUUUGAAAUGAACUUCGGUCAGCCCCUCCAUUUGAACCUUUAAAGGGUUCAAGAGGCAAAACACAUCCACGAGUUUUGCUACCUUCGACAUUGGCAUUGACACCUCUACUGAUUGACAUCUUUUCAGAUUUCACAGUCUCUGCUGUACUCUUCAAAGGAAACAACCUCUGUGCAACUAGAGGAGAUAAUGACAGAGAUCUCCCUUCACUUGGAUUACUGCUGUCAGAAGACAAGUACUUCCUAGAAGAUGCCAGUUUUGGUGGACUGUUAUCCUCAGGUGAAGAGCUAAAUAGCUGUAAAUGUAAACUAGUGCAAUUUUCUUGAAGCUGGCUAUCUGAAUCUUCAACAGGAAACUGGUAACAGCUACUACUUCUCUCACCACCCACAGAAGGGAAAUCGACAAUAGUUCUCUUCUGCAGAUUGGGACCUGUAGCUCGAUCAAGGCAAGUCAACUUAGACAUCUAAGUGUCACUGCUCUGGCUGCUUCUUUGAGAUAGAAUUGCUAGAGCAUCUGGUGCAGAUGCUGUCAAAGUUGCUGAAAGAACAGUAAGCAAGUCCAUGUUUGAUGGAGAAGAUGUGGUUCCAUGCAAUAUAUGUUGGCGAUCUGAUGAUGGUUGUUCAGGAUUUUUCCUAUUUGGAGUUCCAAUAUUUGAAAGCUUAGCAGCAAGAUCCAUUGGCAAAGGUAAUGCAUUUAUUUUACUCAAAAUUUGAAUCAGCUGGUCCCUAUCUGGCGCUGAUGAGUUAUUAGUACUUUUUCCCUGGUUCUUCCCCGUAGUUUUCAACAUAAAUUUAAGCAAAUGAAGUGGAAAAUAACAAUUCAAUUCAUUCAGACAAUUCUGUCACCUUGAGUGCGUGCCAAAGCAGUUAACAAGUUAACCGUGUCUAAAUUUGCGUUGCUGGUGGAAUCCUAGUUACCAGGGAGUAGCAGCUGUGAGGUAACAUCCUCAGGUUGGGUUUUCCUCCUCCGUCGGUUGUGCCCAGCAAGCCUACGCCUACAACUUCUUGUCCCCUCAUCAAACUCAGAAAGUGUUUGAAACUUGCAAACAGCAGUGAAGGUUUUGAUGCGAGUGAAAUCAAAGCAGCCAUGGAGAAAAUAAAUUAAUGAUAUCCAGAAAGGAGAUAUUCCAAGUUAACAACCAAAGGUAUCAAACAGACUAUACUUGUAAACUAAAGAUAAAAAUAAUAAUGUGUAAUAAACAAGAAUAUGACGGUUAAAGUUUAACUAAUGAUCAAUGAAGUCAAUGAAGUAAUGAGAUGAGAACCUGCUACACUGCUGACAAAACCUCUGCAUCUGCUUCCCAACAAGAGCUUUAGUGGAUUUGCUAUGAACCUCGCAAACUUUAUGACGGCGUUGAUAGUCCUUUGCAUUAGAUAGAUUUUCCUUGCAAUUAUCGUCCUGGCACAUUGGAUAGGUAGCUGUGCCGGGAGAUACAGAGCGGACUCUUUUAUUGGGCAUGGAGACAAGCUCCUCAACAGAAUUCAAGCCUCCAGCAAGAUGCAAGCGAAGUCCAUCAUCUUCAUCCACAGCGGCCUUUUUCAAGGGAAAAUGAUUCCCAGAAGCUUCAGUCUUCUUCUUAGGCUCCGAGGAUGCGGAGCAAAACUGCAAAAUGUUGGUGUCAGAGUCCAAGGGGUUGGGCGACAAACCUGACGCUAUCCCAAUCCCGUGCCUUAGGAUUCCAAUUGUCCCUAGGAUUUUGAACAAAACGGUGCAGCUGCUGGAGCUGAGAAAAGCAAUCAAAUCCCGCUUUUUCCAACAAUACAAAAACUUUCCCCAACCUCAGAUCUACAAAACAAACAGCGAAAAGCUGGUCGACUUCAGAUGCCAAAAAAAAUUGACUACCCCUGAAAUCUGGUAACUGACUGUCACAAUUUCUUUCUCCACAGCAUUAUUCUUGAAUACACGGAGCUUGGAGAGACAAAAUGGAAGGGAACUAAAGGAAGACGAAGACGCCAAUCCACGAGCUUUCUUUUUUAACUUUUGCUUACCAUUUAUUAACUUUUUUAUUUUUUCUCUUUGGCUUGUAACAGACGUUUCCUUUCGGUGAUUUUAGCGAGAAUUUCUAGAAAAAGACCAAGUAAUAUUAUCAUUCGAUA